rnacentral:rRNA from 1 species
CGAACGGGUGAGUAACACGUGAGCAACCUGCCCCUGACUCUGGGAUAACCCCGGGAAACCGGAGCUAAUACCGGAUACGACACGCUCGGGCAUCCGAAGUGUGUGGAAAGAUUUAUCGGUCAGGGAUGGGCUCGCGGCCUAUCAGCUUGUUGGUGGGGUAACGGCCUACCAAGGCGACGACGGGUAGCCGGCCUGAGAGGGCGACCGGCCACACUGGGACUGAGACACGGCCCAG